rnacentral:rRNA from 1 species
AAUCCAUAGGUUAAUGAGGCGAACCGGGGGAACUGAAACAUCUAAGUACCCCGAGGAAAAGAAAUCAACCGAGAUUCCCCCAGUAGCGGCGAGCGAACGGGGAGGAGCCCAGAGCCUGAAUCAGCAUGUGUGUUAGUGGAAGCGUCUGGAAAGGCGCGCGAUACAGGGUGACAGCCCCGUACACAAAAGCGCAUGUGCUGUGAGCUCGAUGAGUAGGGCGGGACACGUGGUAUCCUGUCUGAAUAUGGGGGGACCAUCCUCCAAGGCUAAAUACUCCUGACUGACCGAUAGUGAACCAGUACCGUGAGGGAAAGGCGAAAAGAACCCCGGCGAGGGGAGUGAAAAAGAACCUGAAACCGUGUACGUACAAGCAGUGGGAGCACCCUUCGGGGUGUGACUGCGUACCUUUUGUAUAAUGGGUCAGCGACUUAUAUUCUGUAGCAAGGUUAACCGAAUAGGGGAGCCGGAGGGAAACCGAGUCUUAAUUGGGCGUUAAGUUGCAGGGUAUAGACCCGAAACCCGGUGAUCUAGCCAUGGGCAGGUUGAAGGUUGGGUAACACUAACUGGAGGACCGAACCGACUAAUGUUGAAAAAUUAGCGGAUGACCUGUGGCUGGGGGUGAAAGGCCAAUCAAACCGGGAGAUAGCUGGUUCUCCCCGAAAGCUAUUUAGGUAGCGCCUCGUGAAUUCAUCUCC